rnacentral:rRNA from 1 species
AGAGUUUGAUCAUGGCUCAGAAUGAACGCUGGCGGCGUGCUUAACACAUGCAAGUCGUACGAGAACACCCUAGCUUGCUAGGGUAAGUAAAGUGGCGCACGGGUGAGUAACGCGUGGGUAAUCUACCUUCGAAUUGGGGAUAACGUUGCGAAAGCGACGCUAAUACCGAAUAACAUCCAUUAACCUUCGGGUUUUUGGAUCAAGGGUGGCCUCUACAUGUAAGCUACUGUUUGAAGAUGAGCCCGCGUACCAUUAGCUUGUUGGUGGGGUAAUGGCCUACCAAGGCAGCGAUGGUUAGCUGGUCUGAGAGGAUGAUCAGCCACACUGGAACUGACACACGGUCCAGACUCCUACGGGAGGCAGCAGUGAGGAAUUUUGCGCAAUGGGGGAAACCCUGACGCAGCAACGCCGCGUGAGUGAUGAAGGCUUUCGGGUCGUAAAGCUCUGUCAAGUGGGAAGAACCUGCAGUAUGCUAAUAUCAUAUUGCACUGACGGUACCACUGAAGGAAGCACCGGCUAACUCCGUGCCAGCAGCCGCGGUAAUACGGGGGGUGCAAGCGUUAUUCGGAAUCAUUGGGCGUAAAGGGCACGUAGGCGGCCUGGUAAGUCAGAUGUGAAAGCCCGGGGCUUAACCCCGGAAGUGCAUUUGAUACUGUCAGGCUUGAGUAUGGGAGAGGGAAGUGGAAUUCCUGGUGUAGAGGUGAAAUUCGUAGAUAUCAGGAGGAACACCGGUGGCGAAGGC